CUCCUUGACACCCGUUCUAAUCAAGAAUUUGUCUAUCUCCGCCUUAAAAAUAUCCACUGACUUGGCCUCUACAGCCCUCUGUGGCCAAGAAUUCUACAGAUUAAAUACCAUCUGACUAACAAAGUUCUUCCACCUCUUCUUUCUUAUAGAGUGCUCUUUAAUUCUGAGGCUAUGACCUCUGGUCCAAGACUCUCCCACCAGUGGAAACAUCCUAUAGCCUGGGACUGGAUGUUAAGUAUCCUGACAGGGUUUGGGAGGAUGCUACUAGCUAGAGACAGACAUAUCAAAACCCUGGGAACAGAUCAGAGGGGGGAUG